rnacentral:piRNA from 1 species
UUGUCCUGCUGGUCAGAUGAGAUGGGAUU